AGCGAACGCUGGCGGCAGGCCUAACACAUGCAAGUCGAACGAACUCUUCGGAGUUAGUGGCGGACGGGUGAGUAACACGUGGGAACGUGCCUUUAGGUUCGGAAUAACUCAGGGAAACUUGUGCUAAUACCGAAUGUGCCCUUCGGGGGAAAGAUUUAUCGCCUUUAGAGCGGCCCGCGUCUGAUUAGCUAGUUGGUGAGGUAAAGGCUCACCAAGGCGACGAUCAGUAGCUGGUCUGAGAGGAUGAUCAGCCACAUUGGGACUGAGACACGGCCCAAACUCCUACGGGAGGCGGCAGUGGGGAAUCUUGCGCAAUGGGCGAAAGCCUGACGCAGCCAUGCCGCGUGAAUGAUGAAGGUCUUAGGAUUGUAAAAUUCUUUCAACGGGGACGAUAAUGACGGUACCCGGAGAAGAAGCCCCGGCUAACUUCGUG
rnacentral:rRNA from 1 species